AAACUACAUGUCCCAGCAUCCCUUAGAAAGUUGUCAUUCGAGGUUGCAUUUUUUUUAUAUUAGAGUGUUAUUCCAGGAUUGGUAGUUGCUGUUUCUCUUAUAAAUGAUUAUGGGAUUUAAACUCUGGCUUCGAUAAUUUGUGGUGCACUCAUCUGGACACCGCCUAUUAGUGAAUCAUGGCGAACUGUUGAGUGUUUAAGAAACUCCAUUGGCUCUCCUGCACAGCUGGAGGAGUUGAUAGAAUGGCUGGAAACCUUGGAGCACACCAGGAUGGAGGGCCUUUCCUCUGAAAGGCCUCCUGCCAGUCAGUUGGAUAUAGCACAGAGGCUGGACAACCUCCAGCACUCCAUAGAGAUGAUGGAGACACGCCUGCUUGUUGCAGUAAACACUAUCCACAGAAGUCUGGAGACCAUGGAGCCAUGGGGCGGAUGGCGACCUCCAAGGAGGGGCAGGGAGUGGUUGGACCAGCACAACAUUCUGUAAAUAAUCUUGUAAAUACUUUUUAAUGAAAAUUGUUUUAUAUUGAUCGUGUUUUGAGCUUACAUUGUUUCCUUGGUUAAUAAAAUAUGUUUACUUU